rnacentral:rRNA from 1 species
ACACAUGCAGUCGACGGUAACAGGAAGCAGCUUGCUGCUUUGCUGACGAGUGGCGGACGGGUGAGUAAUGUCUGGGAAACUGCCUGAUGGAGGGGGAUAACUACUGGAAACGGUAGCUAAUACCGCAUAACGUCGCAAGACCAAAGUGGGGGACCUUCGGGCCUCAUGCCAUCAGAUGUGCCCAGAUGGGAUUAGCUAGUAGGUGGGGUAAUGGCUCACCUAGGCGACGAUCCCUAGCUGGUCUGAGAGGAUGACCAGCCACACUGGAACUGAGACACGGUCCAGACUCCUACGGGAGGCAGCAGUGGGGAAUAUUGCACAAUGGGCGCAAGCCUGACGCAGCCAUGCCGCGUGUAUGAAGAAGGCCUUCGGGUUGUAAAGUACUUUCAGCGAGGAGGAAGGCAUUAAGGUUAAUAACCUUAGUGAUUGACGUUACUCGCAGAAGGAGCACCGGCUAACUCCGUGCCAGCAGCCGCGGUAAUACGGAGGGUGCAAGCGUUAAUCGGAAUUACUGGGCGUAAAGCGCACGCAGGCGGUCUGUUAAGUCAGAUGUGAAAUCCCCGGGCUCAACCUGGGAACUGCAUUUGAAACUGGCAGGCUUGAGUCUCGUAGAGGGGGGUAGAAUUCCAGGUGUAGCGGUGAAGUGCGUAGAGAUCUGGAGGAAUACCGGUGGCGAAGGCGGCCCCUGGACGAAGACUGACGCUCACGUGCGAAAGCGUGGGGAGCAAACGGGAUUAGAUACCCUGGUAGUCCACGCCGUAAACGAUGUCGACUUGGAGGUUGUGCCCUUGAGGCGUGGCUUCCGGAGCUAACGCGUUAAGUCGACCGCCUGGGAGUACGGCCGCAAGGUUAAACUCAAUGAAUUGACGGGGGCCCGCACAGCGGUGGAGCAUGGUGGUUUAUUCGAUGC